rnacentral:rRNA from 1 species
AGCGGCCCAGCCCGCGAAGUUUUUCCCCAAAAUCACAAGCAUGCCGCCGCCCCACGCUCCUUUCAUUCCCCACCAUGAAAUCCCUAGCUUCUCUCGUUCCCCACGCACACCGACUCCUGACGCCGGUCGAUCCCCACACCUCCCACCUCCGGCCACGCCGCCCGGGGCUACCACCAGUCGAUUCCCACGCCGUCCCGCCGCCGCCCCAUGCCUCCUUGCUGCUGCAGCGCCGCCCACACCGUACUGCCCUACAGCGCCGCCCAACACCGUCCUACCUCUCCACCGCCGGCUCCACGCCCUCGUGCUCUCUCUCGCGGUGGUCGCCUCCAUCCAGUGACCUUGCUGCCACCCUCCCAUCUCGACCAUCCAGCUCAAGGAGACACACGCAGUGGUAGCGGUGGCGAUUUGGAUCGGGGAAGCGUGCGGCUGGUCAAGGGCAUCCCUCUGUCUUUGGCUGGGCAAGGGCACCGGUGCGGGCGAGAACUCAAGAGUUGAAGCUGAGGAAAACAAAGAAGGUGAAGAAGAUGAUGAAGACGAUGAUGAAGAUGAUGAUGAAGAGCCCUUUGUUCGUAGAAGAGUUAUUGCAAAGCCCCCCCUGCAAAAAGCUCCUCAUCCCAUCAAGAUGAAGUCCUAAUUGGUAUGGAUGUGCUUCUAUAUGCAUGGACUGGUCCUGAAACUCCUGUUGCUAAGGCAGCAAUUAUCUCAGUUGUCCAGACACAGUUGCGGGCUCGGAUCCCCUUGGACCAGCACUUAUGAGGUUGUUGUGAAUGUGAUCAGGAAGGAUGCUACGCUGCCUUAUGAAUAUGAUGGUUUACGAUUUGUCACUGAUGCAGUCAUAGGGUCCAUUGCAUGGCCAUCUAGCAAGGAAAGACAUACAAAAGGACCGGAAGGAACCAUGAAGAUGGCAGUUUGCGUCAGCUAGACAUUUUGUGUAAUGGAGCAAAAACAGCGAUUUUUAGUAUCAUUUUGUAAACCUAUAUGGUGUCUUGUCAUCUGGGUAUUUUGUGUAAUGGAGCGAACAAUGAAUUGGCGGACAUGCAUCUAUCAUUUUGUAAAUCUAUCAGGUG